rnacentral:tRNA from 1 species
UCCUAAGUGGCUCAGACGGUAAAGAAUCCACCUGCAAUGUGGGAGACCUGAGUUCGAUCCUUGGGUUGGGAA